UCUCCUAGAAAACCAGCUAUAAAGGAAUUGAUCCAAGAGGAGUUAACCAAGCUUGCGGAUGAAGCAGAAGAGGAUGAGGAUGAUGAAGAUGAAGAUGCCAAGAAGGAAGAAAAUUCAGAACCUAGUGGCAAGAAGGUGAAAACUUGAUUGCAGCUUAAGUAGGGGCAUGUCACUAUAUUUACUCAAUAAUGUUCUCCUGUCGAAGUUAGCCUGCCUGCCAUGGUGGUCUGGCAUCAUUUUAUUGCAUUAUCUAUGAUGCCGAUUGCUAAGACCUUCCCCCUCCCCCCCUAGUCAUGCUAUGUAUUUAUAACAUAGUUUUGUGGCCAUCAUCUCAACCUUAAGUUUACUGACCUGGAGAUGUUGUUAGGUAUCUGCAGCUUUAAUCAUUAUAUACUCAAACAUCAUAUACCUGAUUACACCUGUUUGGUGCUGACUUUGAGUUAAAUCAAAAAUGACAUCAACUUUUCCAUUCUCUACAACCCUUUUUUAUCUUCUGGGUACAGCAUUUAUAACUUUCGAAGUUGGAUGCCUGGAAAUAUCUUCUUCAUGACUUAUUGCAAGCCCUAGUGACUGGAGAUUUAUCGCUGUGCUUCUGUUGUGUGAUCACUCUUCUUGUUUAAUGGUUAUAUCAUGCAGUUGUAAAUUGUAGAAUGCUGUUAUUUGAUGCCCUCAAGUUAAGCUGUCUUCUUUUCUUGGAAGGGUGUCUUUCAUAUUUGAGCUUGUGUAACUUGAUUGUUGUGAGGGAUGAACCUUGGCUGGCCAACUCCUUCUGGCAUGUAUUUCCUAAAUGUAUGCAAUAUUUUGUUGCUGCCCGGUGCUCUCUUGCUCGUUGUGGCUAAGCAGCACAGCAGUUGAAAUCUUUUGCUAACCUUGUAUUGGAAUUGAGAUCUCAUGUCAUGGCUGAUUUUUGAACAAUGAAAGAUAAUCUGCUCUGCCGCAACCACUUUGAACUUGGUAUCUGAGUUUCAGCCUGUGGUUAGCACAUCCAUUUUAGUUCUUUUGAUAUAAACUUUGGUGUUGAGUAUAUAUAAUGCUUCUCCAUCUGCAAAUCGCAGUGUCACGGCCUUUACAUGGUGAGGAUGAUUGCUCAAUUUAGGAAUUUAUUUAAAAAGAUUAUUUGCACCAUUGGUUGGACGAGUUAGUGGUUUUUAUUGAACACUCAUAUGACAUCUUCAUGUCCCUUGCAAUGUAUGCUAGAGCAAGGCCUGGGAAACCCUAGAGCAUGGCCGAACCCGAAAAUGUUUCGUUGGUGCUUGACCAAGCUGUGCACUAGUACUUCCUGAAGCUCAAGUUUGGAGGUUUAUCAAAAAUCCAUGCCGGGUCUGAAUGAAUUUGAAUUAAUGACAUUUGAAUGUUGAAGUGUCAGGUUGUUUUGCGGACGGUUUAGUUGAAUAUUUUCGGGAUAAUAAUUGUGCAAGACACUCCAAGCUGCUAAAAUUAGGGAGGGAUGUCUCUUCAUCGAAAUUCUUCUUAGGGAUUUUGGUAUAUGGCAUCAAAUAUGGUGCAAUGUAAUUUUUCAUAUUCGGAUUCAGGUAUCUUAUUAAAAGACUUUACCUGAUCCUAUUCAAACGCGGUACUAUCAUAUGCACAUCAGAGCAUGUUUUUGAUUUUCAUGGAUUAGACCCAAAUUGGAACUCCAUCAACAUCCAAUAGUUUAUCCAAACUUUUUCUUUAAUUAUUUGAGCUUACAUAGGGUAUAUAUUGGAGGGCAUGAACAGGUUUGAACUUGACAAAUAAUGGUACACUCAAAAUCUGGACUUGAUGUUUAUAUAUAUCUAAUCCUACAUGACCCAAUCUUCUCUGAAGCUGACACGAUCAAAUUCUUGGAUUGGCAGUGUAUGGAUUCAAAUGUAGACAAACCUCCAACUGGCUGGUUCUGGUUCAGUUAAUAUCUGAAUAGUUUUGUCAUGCAUUUGCUUGGUCAUGAGUUGGAAGAAUGUUUGUAAAGGCAAUCUAGUUAUCACUCACCCACAAAGAUAUGAUCCAUCAGGUUGCUGCAUAUGCUGUUGUUUCAACUGCAACUCAUGCAUUGAUACUUACAUUUGAGAAGAGCACGUGAAUUGAAUGGUUUUGCAACUAUAAGGUUGUUCCACUGCGACUUGGUGUCAUGAGUUUAAAACUCCAAAAUAGUCUUCCAGCGUGCAGGGAUAAGACUUUGUGCCUUUGGCCUCUUUGGACAUUGCAAUGGUAGGACUCUUAUGCAUUAGGACGUCUUUUUUUGUUGAUGCCUGUGAUUUUUUUUUUUGUCAAAAAGGGAGGUUGAAAACCACCCAAUCAAAAGAAACAAGUAUUUACAAGAGGUGGGGAGGAGGGUUGGACAGUGGGAGAGCUUAAGAUGAAUAUUGAGAAACAGUGAGCAAGGAGAAGAGUUUUUGCAGUCUAACAUAAGUCUAUUCUUCUGCAAAAAAAGAUUGUUCCAUCAAGGGAACGGGAAGAGUUUUUGCAGUCUAACAUAAGUCUAUUCUUCUGCAAAAAAAGAUUGUUCCAUCAAGGGAACGGGAAGUUCAAUGGUUACUUUUAUCUAAAGUGUCACAAAGCCAGGUAAGUCUAGCUGGUCUCAAAGCAGAGACCAAUUAUUGAAAAGACUAUAACUGUUGGAUAUUGUGGAGGCAACUGAAGCUGCUCUGUUCCAGAAAACUCUGUUCCAAUUAUAGUCUAUGACACUGCAGAGAUAAGCAGAGGAUAGCUGAAUACAUUCGUUUAGGCAAUUGUUGCAACCUCUAGUGGAGAUGAGAUUUGUGAGUGAAGCAAGGGGUUGGCAAACACCAAAGAUAAGAGAGAAAGCUAUCCAAAACUAUUCUAUUUAAGGACAAAAGAUGAAGAUAUGGUCUCAAGACUCAGAAGGUUUACCGCAAAAUGUAUAUCCACCAAAUGUUUUCUUGUCUUUCAUUAAAUAUUAUCCCUUGUAUUAAGUUUAUUCAUCAAUGUGAGCCAUAGAAAGCAUUUAACUUUGAUUAGGACCUUCAGCUUCCAUGUUAAAGAGGAAUGCUUCCGUGUUAUUCCUCUGAAACAAAAGAAAAUGUAGAGGGACAAGGUAGUGAAUUUUUUUUUUCCAUUCUAUCUCCCACCAGCUCAUCUAGAACUGAGUUGAGAUAAAUACCUAUAAGGAGAUUUAUGAGCUUUCCUGAUUCUUCCCAUGCCACUAUAGAGAGGAGUUGAAAUUUUGAGGUCCUGGGUCAUUCAUGAGUUGAAUAACUGUGUCACCACACAAUUUUUGUACUUAUAGAGAUGAUGCGAGUUUGUGAAGGUAAACUUGAGAGUAGUUUCAUCUAUCCACCUGUCUUUCCAAAAAGAGAGCUAUAAGUCCAUUGCCAAGUCGGAAUCGUACCAUGUUCUCCAAAGGUGGUACUGAAGUGAUCACAUCUAACUUUUAAGCACCUUCUUGGCGGCUUCUAAUUUGCUAAUAAUUUAAUUUUCCUACGGUACUUAUUGAUAAGUUGGGUAUGGGCUUGAGUCAUUUCGUAAAGACACCAAUCCCACUUUGUUAAUACAGACUGGUGGAAAAUUCUUAGAUCUUUCACCCCUAAGCCACUUUCCUCUUUUUUUGUAUAGAGUCUCGACCCAACUUGCUUUGUAGUGCCAAAUCUGACUAUAUGAAUGCCCUUAUGAACUUAUCUAUUUUAUGAGCGAUACAAGAUGAUAGUUGUUUAUUAAAAUAUAGUAUAGAGAGAGAGAGAUGAGAGUACAACAUUAAUCGGUGUGAGCCUUCCUCUAGUGGAGAGAAGCCUUCCUUUCCAAUUUUGAUUCUACCUUUUGAAUCAAAGGCAACCAAUCAGCUUUGGUUAGCUUACUUGUUUAUCUUUUGGAUAAACAACUCAUAGUCAUGAGUUUCUUUCCACUCUUUCCCAUGACAUUGACUUUGAGGGCAUCAAAUCCAUUCUCUUGUACCUUAGUUGGCACACAUGAAAGUUGAGGAUUGAGGUGGUCUUCCAAGGCACCUAACCAUCAACUUGCAGUCUAUUAUUGUUGGUGCUACUAUAACGUCUGAAGAAUAUAGCCACCCCGUUUUGUAGCUUUUAACCAUGAAAAGCAGUUGUUGUUGCUCUCCUUUCAGUGUCCUCAGACACUCCGUCCUUCAACUUUCCAAUUAAUUUGUUGGUGAUGUGCAUCCACAUUACUUUGGUUCUAGAGUUCUUAUUAGAGUAGCUGGGUAGACUUAUUCUUGCUAGGGUUAUCCCACUAAGCUCCAGAUCGGUCCCUCUUGUUGAAGUAAUAAUUACGUGGCAUGGAUGGAAAGCUGUUAUUUAUAUGUUGCAUGCCAUGAAUAUAUGGAUUGAAGGAAAUUCAAUGACGAAAUUGCUUGUCUGCUCAAGGAUCCAUUAUCGAUUAUCCCUUCUUCAAAGACUUGCCAACCUUUUAGCCUCUUUCUCACAUAUUAAGAUUUCUUACGCCUACAUUAAGGGGAAUCAGCUUGCCGAUUUUCUUGCCAACUAAGCUUCCUCCCUUUCUCCAAUCCUCCAUCCUCUUUCUUUAUCUUUAUAGUGCUGAUGUGUUAUCUAUUUCUUUCUUUCAUUGGUAAAAAUGAGGGUUGAUAGCCUUCCACUUACCACAAUAUAUAUAUAUAUAUAUAUAUAUAUAUAUAUAUAUAUAUAUAUACUUNNNNNNNNNNNNNNNNNNNNUAUAUAUAUAUAUAUAUAUAUAUAUAUAUAUAUAUAUAUAUAUAUUCCCCUCUUAUUAUUCAGAAUGUAUUCUAUCAUGAAAUUUUUACUUCCAAUCGUGAAUGACCACAUUUUAUAUGGAAUGCUACGCCUUAACUCCAAUGCUCUACUUUCAGACUAUUUUACAUAGACCACUUUUGAUGCUCAUAAAUAAGCCAAGUAUCUUAAAUAGCACACCUUAGGGCACUACUAUUGCCAAAAAAAUAGCCCAACCAUGCUUGCAUUUCGCAUACCAUCUAUGUGUAUUACUUGACUUUUCACAAGAGAAGUUGGGUCUCAAAAAAAAGGAUCUAAUGACAGAUAUUAUACCAUUAGAUAUCGUUAGACAACAUGACCCUUAACAACCGACUUAUUCGUAUGGUAAGCCUUCUAUUGAUCGAUAACUUUAGAAGGUGGUUGCAUAUCCAUCCGACAUCCAGCCUCGUCAAAUAUAUCCAGUCGACUACCAAAGUUUGAGAAUAAGCCCUUGCCAUUAAACUUGAUUUGACGAUAGGGAUCUUGCCAUUAUAACUCUUUUGAUGGUAUAUGUCUACUAUCAAAAGAGGUAAAGCUAGCUUGGACCCUUUCUUCAAGUUUCAAGAGUUUUAGAAUCUUUUCUACUAUUCUUUUAGUUCCACAUUACUCACACAAAGGCUUGGGGCCUCCUAGAAGAUCCUAUAUAAAUCCCUCUAUCCCAUAUUUUCAACCAAUAAGCACCUAGUAGCCUUUUAGCAAAGCUCAAACAUAACUUGCAAAGAGAGCCGAUGACUUGCUUGUCUAAAAGUAGCCAUGUAACAAUUAUUCUGUACCUUCGAGAUAUUCAAGCGAGGGGACAACAUGUAAAAGAAGCUUUCUUUUUCUUCCAUUCUUUCUUUCUACUCUUAGUUUCUCCUUAGCCAUAGCAUAGCAUAGCCAUCCUAUUUGUUUUUUUCUCCUUGGGAGUUUUAAGGAGAAGGAAAGGUGGCUAUACCCUCUUCCUUCCCUACCAAUAUCCAAGAUUACUCUUGACACGAUUAGUCCCACAAUCCUCCUGAGUGUUGAUUUAAGAUCCUUGCACCCAAUAAUUCUCAUGUUUGCUUAAUAUUUCUUAUAGGAAGACUCUUGGCAUGAUCAAGACCUCUAUAUAAAGAACACUCUAUCUUGGGGAGGUAGACUCAGAAGCAGAUAGCUCUUCGAAGGUAGCAUCUUGGCAAGCUAGCAGAAGCGAAUUGUUGGGUGGCAAUCAUAUAGUUUUGUUAUAGUAGCGGGUUCUAUCUUGGAGCUGGAUAAAGUACUAUAGGAGUGACAACCCUUCACCAAUGACCGAAGAAUAGUCAACCUAAUCCUAUAGCUAUGUGAUUGGCAAGUGCAUUUUCUGGCAAAAGUCUUUGAGCAAUUUAAUAGAUAAAGUGUAUUCCAACUUUGCCUUUGUACUUUUUAUUCUAAUUUUAUAAAGUAACCUAUAAAAGCUACCACUUUGUUCCACUUCUCCUAGAGAUGCCCAUACUGCAACCACUUUCCUCUUCUAUUUAAGAUUCUCAAAGUUUUCUUUUGUACAUUCAUGAUUUAGUUUUCACUUCCAAUGUUGAAAACAAUUAAUUUGGUUUGUAAGGUGUGUGCUAAAAACUUUGAUGUAAGAGGCUUUGAUAUGGGGUAAGAGUAGUAAAGGACCAACUAUGGGAUAAGACUCCAAAUUAACUAUCUUAACAAAAUUUGUUAAUACGAAACACAAAGUUUGACAAAAUACAUCCAUUCUCAAAAGAAAGUGGAUCUAUAAAUCAAAAAACAAGUGAGAAUAAAUAAAGCAGGCUAGGAAGGUUUCCUAGGCACCAUUGACAAAAAAGAGAGUAUGAAAUAAGAAGGAUUAGGGCAUGAGAGUCAAGGUUAAGGAUGAAAAAAAGAGUUGAAACAAAAGGAGCACUUCAUCUAAGCCUGGAAUCAAGGUUAGGAAGGGGGAAAGAGAUUUGAAAUAGAGAAGGAUAAUUCAAGACUAGGUAUUUUUCUUUUAAUGUUCUUAUAGUUUAUCUAAAACAAUAUUCUACACCAAUCAAGAAGCAUGGUUGUUGAGUGUAAAAAGUGAGGUGCAACUACGUAUUAUUACUUUAUUUUAUAUGUGAUAUUAUUCAAUUGUUGUGCUUUCCAAUGUAUAGUAUUCUAAAAGAAGGCUUUUAAGGAAUAUCAGAAUCAAACCUUUUUAGGAGUCAAAUUAGAGAAAGAUGGAGUUUAUUUGUUUAAGAGUUUUAGGAAAGAGGUCUGUUAUUAUUAGGAAGGGAGGCGAGAACAUGUGAGAUAGUUAACAGUGAGAGUAGCUAGGUAGUUAAUAUAUUUUCUAAGAUAAAUUAUUUUUAUAUAUUGUAUAGACUAGAAUAUUGCAUGUGCAACACAUGGCUAAGAAAUAGAUAAGAAUGUGAGUGGAAAAAAAGAAUUUUUUGGCAUUCUUCUCUCUUGACCCAAUCCAAUGCAAGAAAAAGAUAGAAAAUUAUGUAUGGAGUCUCCUACUACUACCACAAAUAUAGUCUAUUCUAGCAUUUCAAACUAUAUCAUAAAAAAUUAAAAAAACAGAAUUUAAUCAAUGACUUACUAAUAUUUAUUAGAAGUGUGACUUAAGCAACCGUCUCUUUAACUAUAAGUGCAUUUUUGACAAACGUCAAUAGAGGUCAUAAGCUUUUUUGUCACAUUAGUAUUUUAUUGCGAUAUUUAAUAAUGUCUUUUGAAUAUUGCAACACUUGUAACACUUGUAAACAUAGCUCUAGCAUUUCAUUAAUGUGAUGAUAAGUGUCAUGUUAUCUUCUUAAGCAACAUUUAUAAAUAUCGUUUAAAAUUAUUUUAUCUACAACAUUUUUGUACUUUUAUAAGUAUUAUUAUAGAUAUUUUUAAAUGUUGCCAAAAACCAAGCAAUUUAGUGGUCCUAUAAUAUUUUUUUAAUCAUCGAUUAGGGCCUUUUCCCCCCCUCUAUUUGUCAAGAUUAAUAAUGAGCAUAUACUUGUCUACAUACAUAUUAGAAUUCCAAUAUGUGAAAUUCAUAUAACUAUUCCAAUAAUACUUUUGUUCAAUGCACCAAACCUACAUCAAAUACGCAUUUUCAAUUUACCAGACAUUUAUAUUACCAGAAUUGAAGCAAAAAAGUAUUUGAAGGUGUUCACUUGAGUAAAAGUCUUAGAUAAAUUAAAAAUAUCACAUCUUCAACUAAAGUAGAAAAUUAGAAGAAGUUUGGAUCAUAUAUCUCCAACUUGCAAAAAUAGACUAGAAGAACACAUAUAUCAACCUGUAGGACAUGGAAGGAAAAAAAGCAUAAAAUACAUGACUUAUAUAUAAUAAUCAAAAUAUGGUUUAAAAAUAUGUCAAUCGAUAGUUUAUAGUUUUACUAUUAGAGCUAGUAGAUGGAGGAUCAUCGUUAGACACAAGAGAGUGUAACAAUGAUCCAUAGAGUAGGGAUCAUGAUAGCUACUCUCCUCAGGAGCCUAGUAUAUCAAAUGGGUGAGAGAGGACCGUCAUGUAAGAGGUCUAAGUGCACUUCUAUCAGGUAUAAAUAUAGAAAUUAGAAAAUUUUAUUUUAUUUAGGAUAAUUUUAUUUUAUUUAGGAAAUGCAAAAUUGUAUUUUUUAUUUGGACUCUAGGACUAGAAUAUUAUGAGAACUCUAGUAUUUUCUUUUUAUGUGGACUUUGAUUAGGAUUUUGAAUUUUAUAUUAUAAACAUAUUAUUGUAUUAAUUGAGAAUAUAAUUUGCAUUAUUGAGUUUUGAGAAUACUAAAUAUUGAGUUACCCUCUAUCUACCUUCCUUUUCUCUUUUCUUCUCUUCCUUCCUCUUCUGCUCUCUCCUACUUCUAUCAUGCGUCAAUUUGGUAUAAGAGCAUCCUAUUCUUUCUGCCUCUCGAGCUUGUCUUGUGACAAUUUGGUAUCAAAGUAAUUUUAAUUAACCACCACUACCGUAUCUUUACUGCUCCGUUACUAUAGCCCAACAUCUCAAACCACCCUCCUCGGAUCUGCCAUCUAUGCCCCACCACAGCACCAUCAAAAAAAAGAAAGACAGGGAAAAAAGAAAAAAUAGGGACGAUUGCUUUGUCCACCACCACCCCUUAUUUCCUCUCCUAUUUUUCGCUACUCCCCUUCUCCUAUCUCCAUCAGCCAUUGGAAACCCAUCGCCCUUUACCGAAGCCCUGCCAUGCCCUCACAACUACGUAGGCAUGGAUCUCUACAUCCUACACUAGCUACAUCAUCCUCCUGAAGAGAUUGAUCACCGAAUCUCACGAGUUUUCCAUCAACUACCUACGCCCGACCAUUGCUACCCUCAUCAGCACCUUGCAGUUGCCCAUACGGCCCCUUGCAAUGCCCUCCUCUUCAACAACUACCACCACCCCUGCCACACUAGAGCUCCAUCGCAAGGUUCCUAUCGACAAGUUCUGCCUUCGUGUUCUUCAGCUUUGACAACUCCUCUCUGUUGAGGAUCCACUAAUUUCCAUCGAUCUCCACUGCCAAGAGGCCUCUGCAAUGUCCUUUACCCAAACUCGAUAGCCAAUUGCUGGUCAUCACCGAGUGGAGUGCUGCCUAGCAUCUAGGGCUUUGGAACAAAGCCCUUGUAAGGAACAGAGGGCCCAACCAAGUCCGAGUCUAACCCAGAUCCAAUCCAGAUUUGGUAAGGAGCCUGUGGAUCUGGGUCUGAAUCACAUUUGAUGUAUCAACCCGAUAUAUCGGUGCCACAUCACCAGUGGGGCCACAUCAUCAGCCAGCUAUCAGCAUAUGUCAGCAUCCAUUCAACAAUCUUUGACAUGUCUGUAUCGCUAUGCAACCUGCUGACAUCAUUUGCUACAUUAGUGGUCCUUGCCACAUCGACACCAUGUCAACUACCACAUCAGCAUUGGAAAUAUGCCCUAGCUAAUGUUGAUAUAUUGAUUCCAUUUUUGAUGUUUGUUUCUGCUGAUUCUACUAGUAUAGUGAGUUUUUCUUUGCUAUAAUGUGAAGUUAUGGCUUAAAGUGUUCUUUAUGAGAUAAUAUAUUUCUCUUUAAAAGCUCGAUUGAUAUUUAUUUGAUUGGAUAACUGGUAAAUUACUUUAGUUCCAACUUUUAAUCUUAUCCCUUCUCUUUUACAAAGAAAAAAGAAAAAGAAAUCGACAUACCUAACCUUUAUUUGCAUAUGGCCUUGUUAUGUUGCAUCCAUCAUAGUUUCUCAACUUUGUCAUAUUAGCUGCAUUAAAUUUAUUAGUUUUACAUGUAUAUAUGGUACUAGUUUAGGAUUCUUAAUUAUGUAUUGUAAUUUUUAUUCUAUCUUUGUAUUAUUACCCUAUACUUGAGUGUAUCACACCAUAACCAAGAACAAACAGAAUACCCACCUAUCCACUAUGGAGCAAACUAUCCCAAAUAUUGUUCCCUCCACUUCUUCACCACCAUUUGACCCUCAAGCCUUGAUGAGCUCUGUAGACCAUAAAUUUUAAUGGAGUCAACAAUAUGAAGAAUUGAGUUAGCAGGUAGAUUAAGCUCUAAGCGGCUUAGGGCUAGAUGAGUCUAUUAGGCAACCUGAUGAGUCUCUUCAUUUAGUUGGGUAUGUACAAAGUAUCUUGUCCACUUUCGAAUCAAUAGUAACUACUAAUAGGAUGAGUUAUACCCCUAGAUAUGUUAUUAGAGUCUUACCUAGGGAUCUUUAUUAUAAUGUGGAGUCUAAAGCUCAUAAGGAUAUACAUGUGGAGGAUGAGUUUAUAGAGAAAUACUAGAUUCCAAGGCAACAGCAUAGACAAGACUAUAGGCAGCCAUUUCAUGCUCAUCUAGGUGAAGUCCAUCAUAGGUAAGUUGAUCCGCAUGUCAGAUAUCCUGAUAAGGUUAAUAGGCAUUUUUCUCUACCCUAUAGAUAUGAUCAAGAGGACACUUAUGGCAUUACUAGGUUAGUUAAGAUAGAUGUGCGAUUUUAUGAUAGUUAAUUAUACCCUAACACGAUCUUGGGAUAGUUAAUUAGACCCUAACACCUUCCUAGAUUGGUUGGAUGAGCUUGAGGAUUACUUUGAUUAGUAUGAUAUGACAAAUAGAGAGAGAGAGAGAGAGUUCAUUUUGUUACGAUGAAGUUGGUAGGUGUUGCCAAAAAAUAUUUGCAGAGUGUCCAGCAAAUUCUUUAGCAUCUAGAUGAACUACUUUUCAUCUAGUGGAUAGUCAUGAGGCAUAAGUUAAUGGAGACAUACCUACUUUCUUACUAUAAGAAUUAAUUAUUUGAUCCACUUAUGAACCAUUGGCAACUUAGUAUAUAAAAUAAUUGAUAAAAAAGUAAACUACACCAACUCCGAUCCCAAAGAAAAUUACACCAACAAUGAUCAUUUAAUACAGUAAAAUUACAUCUAGACUACUUUUAUUAGUAGUCACUAGAAUAUUAUAAACAACUUCUGACAAAUUCCUAUAAAAUUUGGAAAUAAUUUGGCAAGACAUUAUACACGGAUAGCUAAUAGUUCAUCUUUUGGAUAAAUACAAAGUAUGCUACCUAUAUAUAAAAAAGCAAUAACCAAUAAUAAGAAGCAAAAGUAAAAUGUUCAUGUGUGCUUUUAUAGGCAUUAGUAAUAAAGAAUAUGCUAAAAUGAUAUAUUUAAACAUGCCUAUCAUAGGGAGCAAUUUUCAUGUGUUAUUCUCAUUUGAAUGGUUGAUGUCUCCUAAACUCUAGGAUGCUCAAUAUACUAAAAUGUUGAGUAGAUCUAUCUAGUGAUAACAUAUGAAAUUCUAACCUAAAUCAAUAAACUAUAUCUAAUUUGUCCCAGUUGAAUAUUAUCAAUAAACUAAAUCAUCAAAUUUAUUUUAGAUUACCUUUAAAUCAUAUUUCAAUAAGUUUUUUCUAGAAAGGAUAUCAAUUAAAGGGUGAAUUAUUCCUAUCCAGCUUUUAUUAUUGUUAUUAUAGUCGAUAUACUGGAUACCUUAUAAUCUUUAUUUGGGAUAUCCCACCAAUUCCUAUGACAAUUGAUUCGAUCCCUCAAUUCCUCUGAAAACCCUUGAAGGCCUGGUGCUUUUUUUUUUCCGAUCCAAUGGUUGUUGCUUGAGCACUACCAUUAGGCUUGCACUCUCAUCUUCUCCCCCAUCAAUCUCACUAAAAAAGUUCUUUGUCUUAGGCCACUGUUGCCUCCUACUCAUCCCUCAAUCUCUUCCUCUUUGAGCACAAGAUGCUCCUCUACCUUUGCCAGCCUUCUCCCAUCAUUUAGCCUUCCAUUCCUUGCCUGGUUAGAUUUUGUCGAAGAACCUUGUAUUAGGCCCUCAUUGCCUCACCUUCUCCACUCAAUAUCGUCCUCUUAUAGUGAGACAUUGGCCUCCUAUGCCUUCAUCGGCCUCCUCCACCUUCACCACUCACCACCUCCAGCUCCUUGCCUUAGCCUCCCUUGCUAGAGAUAUUGUGUCUCAAGCUCUCGUCGCCUCUUGUCCCUCACUCAAGAUCAUUCUUUCCAAGAAUAACUAGCCUCCCACUUUGCCGUAUAGGUCCACCUUCAUCCCAUGUCUUCUCAUCCUCAACCCCUUGGCCUCCUUCACCUCCCCCCUUGCUACCUAGCCUCUCUGGUAUGGCAGUCCAUAAUCAGUAUGAACCUAGUAGUUACUAAUUUUUAAUAUUAUUUGGGACUCUUUGUUUUUGAGAAUUAGGGUUUGAUGAAAUUUAGGGCUUUUUAUCAAUCACCAACAUUAAACAAAGGAAAAAAAAGGGACAAUUAGUUGAGAGAGAGAAUGGAGAUUAGCUAUUGCACUUGGAUCCCGGCCAGCUAGUUCUAUAGUGGUGAGCAAUGAUGAACAAAUGAUGCCAAAGUGGAGGGAAAAGAAGUAAAGGAGUCAAAAUUUGAGGCAACAUGAUGGAAUGUAAGGCUUAUGAGGGGGAAACAUGGUGAGAAGGAAAAUAACUAUAUUUAGAAAGUCUAGAUUAUUUCCCAUAAAGAAAUUGAAUAUUCAUAUUUCGUAAAAAAGUUAGAUGCAUGUAAAAGAAACACUAGCGAUAUUUUUUCUUUUUAUUAUUUUUAAUAAAUCUAUUGUGAUAUUUACUAGGGUAGGUCUAUUGCUACAUUUGUAAAUGUAAUAAAAAGUGUAAUAUUACAAUGUUUAGUAAAACAUAAAUUGCAAAAUCAUAUCCACGAUGAUGUUUAUGGAUAAAUGUAGUAACCAAAAUAUUUGUGGUGAUGAUUCUAGUAUAUAUCAUAAUAACAAAUGUGGGAAUAGAUUAUAUUUAGUGUGGUAUACGUGUUUCAAAGUCCUAAUUAAUUUUUUUUAGCAAGUUCUAAUUAUGGGCCCGAAAAGAGAGAAAUAAAUAAACAAAUAAAUAUGAAGAGAUGUUGACAACGGAUGACAUCUCAUGCAUGGGCAUUUUAGGGAGUUAACGUAGAUAGGUUUCCAAAUAUUAUCAUUCAUGGGGCUCAUCCUAUGCAAGAAAAUAAGAUAGACAACUACGUAUUGGGAGAGUUCAACUCAAGUUUUGAGCUCGCUAACAAUAACAAUUUGAAGGGUCCAUUUUAGCCAUCCACAUGUCUAAAUGUUCAACUAGAAUAGCCGGUAAAGUCCCUUCUCCUCCAUUUUUCUUUUCACAAUCGAGUGAAAGCAGUGACUUUAUUGCCUUAUCCAUAAUUGGCUCCAUUCCAAUUUCCACCUUUAUUCCUGACCCUCUCUGCUUCCAUUGGAACCUUCAUGAGUUCCAGUCGUGGCCCUUUCUGCCUUCAAUCAUGUCUCUUAUCCUAAUCAAUACCAAACUACGGCUAUUUAAUUCCAAAUUCAAAACCAAUGCCCACGAUUCCAACCAAAUUGAGUUCUCUUGAGUUAUGCCUUUUGAAUCUUCUUUACCCCUCUUCUCUCCCUCCCCCUGGUUGAUCUCUUGCUUCCACACCUUUUCCAAUUUAUAGCAACAUUUUAAAUAUAUAGAUAGAUUGAUCAAUAUUCUUUCAUAGGGUCCAAAGGAAUAAAGACAAAGAAGAUAAAACCAAUCGGUUCUCGUUCUCUUCAUGAUGGCCAAGAUGGAAGUGGUCAGGGCUAGGAAUGGAGUUGGUGGUAGACCAAGCGAUGAAGUAUACAUAGAAUAGAGGAGGAGAAGAAAAUUAACUAGCUAUUCUAUUUUUUUCCACUUAGACAUGUAGAAGGCUUAGAUGGAUCCUUCAACUUUAUAAUUAUUAUUAAGCUCAAUAUUAGAGCUGCAUUCUUAUGUGAUCUCGAAUCUCAAUUAACUUUUCCAAUAUGACUUACCCUUGUAAGUCUUGCUUUAAUUCACAUAAAAAGUGAGAAAAAUAAAAUAAACAUAUAAAUAUGAAUGUAGGAGUGUUCGUGUAGAUUUGUAACAAAGUAGUUUGUAGUAUUCCUGCAAUGCCAUACUGUAAGAGAAUUUUCUCUUAGUUUGCGCAUUAUAGUAGCAGAAUUCAUUGUGGUAUGUAACAAAGUUGUUUAUAAUAUACUAGUAAAGCCGUUCGAAAGUUCUAACUCAUUCAUGCAUGGAGAUGACAAACAACCUCGGAUGCAGUGUUGUUUUAGAAACUUCUUGUUACAUAUUAGAAUAAAUAACUUUUUUUUAUUGUAAUCAAACAUGCCAAUUUUGUUUGUGAUCUUGAAUCACUAUUUACUUAUCUAUGUAUUCAGAAAAUCUUUUUUUUCUUAGGAAAAAGGGUAAGGGGAGAAAGGGAUCAGCCCACCCCCGCGUAGCAGCCCCUACUGGGCCCUCGCCCGGCCAGAAGAAUAUUCGACGCGGGUAGACUCUGUUUAACUCAUAUCUUCUUCAUCUGAAGGUGAGUACGUCAUAUCUGGCACCAUCCAGGUACAGGUGGAAGGAAAGCAUAACCGCUAACAAGUCAUCCGGACGUGGAACAUCCGGUCUCCGAAUUUAAUCGACGCCUAUGCAUUUCAAAUCUGAAUAAUUUGAACGAAAUUAUCGUUCUUUUACUACGAGACUACCAUCCUGGUGGCAUUCAGGAAAUCUUUAUAAUCCUGCACUGUGCACUUGCAUUGGCCUAUUUUGGUAAAUCAAGUGCCGUAUACUGGCAGUUCAACCUCUAGAAAGCUUGCAACAUGACGAAAGGGGGACCAAAAAACAAAAGCUUAUGACUUGGCAACAGGGUGCCCCACCACAACGACCUUACAAUCAAACGGUUGCAAGGGGCAGGACUGUCCGAUCCGCCUCGUGGCUGUCCUAAAAGUAUUGUACGUGGCGCGGCCACAAGGAACCAACAGAGUUAGCAAUGAGCAACCAACAGAUCUCGACCGUACGAUGGAUAAGGUUAUCAUUUAAUCCAACAAAAAAAAAGGAGCAACUCCAAAGAAAACCAAAAAGAGACCCUAAAAAAACUCUCUCAGAUCUUGAAGCGAGGGAUUGGACGUAGUGCGUCUCUCAGCUUGACGGUGACACUUGGACCGGACACGUCAAGAAAACCCUAAUGGACUUCGGCUUGGAGUCCGGACUAUAAAAAAGGCGGAGAAGAAAGUGAGGGCGCUUCGAGGAGGGAAAAAUUAAGUUCUUCUUUCGUUCGCUGUCUCGCUCUCUCGAGGGAGAGGGGUGAGAAGAUUCACUGCGAAUUUUCGUCGAUUCGACUGCUCUGAGAUCUUCUGUAAGUGUCUACUCGCUCCGUCGUGAUGAGAUAUAGAGCAUUUCCUUGGAUUUUUUUUUUUUGAGGUGAUUGCUUGGGAAGAGUUCGUUCUAUCGAGCUAGGGUUUCGAAAAUUCGGCACGAAGGUGAUAUUUUCCUGCUUUUAUCUCGCGUUUGUUGAUGUUUUAAAGGUUUCUUUUAAAAGUUUUUCUCUGAUUCUAUAACAUUAAGGUAAGUUUUCUAAUCUGAAGCACUUCUUGCCAUUUGUGCUGCGGGCAGAUUGCCGGUUCUGCGGCCUUCCUCCGUUUUUCCGGUCUCGGGGGUCUCAAAGUUUCAACUUUUUAUGCUCUUUACUCGAGCGUUUGUUCCUGCACUAACCUUGGAGAUGUCUUUUAUCGUUGUUUCAUGUUUUAAGGUUUCUAUGCUGUUUCCCUGGUCUUUAGGUUAAUAAAAGUUGGUUUCUUAAAAAAAUAUGCAAUUUAUUUUGAUCAGGGUUUGCCAGCCUACCUUUUCGCAUCUCUGGUCUUUGUGAUUCUAUUUGUUGUUCGUUGAACAUGUUAGUUUGUUAUUCAAUUUGCUUGUACAUACCUUCUUUCUCCAAUACGAUGUCCAUAUUUUAGAAUAGUUAUUUUCUAUUCGAAAUUUGCUUUAGUUUGAUAGCUAAUAAGCUUCUGCAAUCGGUGAUUUCUGUUAUAAAAGGUAUAUUCGUUGUUAUCGUGGUUUUUUUUUCAAUUUGCGUUCAUUAAUGAGUUUCCCUUGUGCAUGAUUUCAGUCGUUAUGUUAUCAGAAUCUUGAUAAGUUAGAAGUUCCGAUCUGAUAAUUACUUUGUUGACAUUAUAACUUUGGCAGCAAUCAGGAUGUCUGGACCAGAGCCAGCAUCUGAAGUGGAAGCAGCUAAGAUGGCCAAUGGGUCUGGCCCCCUGUCUGAGGAUAUGGGUGCGGAGGCUGUUGCUGAAAAGGACAGUGAGGAAAAGAAUAAUGGAGAUGAAAAAAAGGAUGGAGAUGAGAAUAAGGUUGGAGACCAGAAUAAGGAUGGUGAAGAUAAGAAAGAUAUGGAAGGAAAGAAGGAAACUGAGGAAAAUGGCAUGAAAAAAGUAGAAGUUGAAGAAGAAGGAAAAGACGAAAAGAAAACUGAGGACGUGAAUACAGGAGAAGCUGAAGAUGUGAAAAUGGUAGAUGCUGAGGAUGUGAAAACAGUGGAAAGCAAGGAUGUGAAAAUGGUGGAUGCGGAGGACUCUGGAGAUGAGGAAGACGGGGUCAAAGAAGUUGGAGAAGAAGAGGGGGGAGCGGAUUCAAACCUGAAGCAAUCGAUUGAUGUGAAAGAAGAUAAUGGAAAUAUGGAGAAGAAGGUUGAUGACAAUAAGGUGGAAGGGUUAAAGAAAAAGAGGGCUAGGAGUCAGAAGGUCAGCGAUAAAGGGGAAGCAAAGGAGAAGAAAGAAAGAGGUACAAAGUCAAAGGAAUUGCUGAGUACUCCUACACCAUCUUUUAUUGAUCGUCCUGUGCGUGAGAGAAAAACUGUGGAAAGACUCGUUGAAGUUAUUGAGAAAGAGCCAGAUAAGGAAUUCCUAGUUGAGAAGGUGCAGAUUUCAUGCUUAAUUUUCCUCAUGUAUUUUUAGUGGGUUCCAUCAUCUUUAUUGUUGUUAUUGAAAUGCUCAUUUUUCUGUUUAACAUUUGUUUUUUAGGGCCGUGGCAUUCCGCUGAAAGAUAUACCAAAUGGUAAGGUUUUGAACUGUUGCAAAUUUUGCCGAUGGCUUACUACAUGCAGUUUAUGAUGCAUUACCAUGAAUUAUGUUGUCUUCUUUGGGAAUUCCUCUUCGUGAAUUCCAAGCUAUGGAGAUAAAUCUUUUAUCCGCAAGCCCUUCUUGUUUCUCUCUAUAUAAUUUUCAUGCCAGUUAUCUAAGUUUGUGGAGUUACUCAUGCUGUCCUUUUUCUUGAUUGAUUUUAUUUUCUUGUAUUUUGAGAUUGUGGUUUGGUUUUAAAUCCAUUCAAUGAUAAUUUGAUACUUCUUUUUCUAGUUUCUAUUUGUUUGUUCAUAGCCAUCAAGCAUCAUACAGAUUAAAUGAGGAUGAGUUGAUGAACCCUUAUUUACAGUAGUUGUUGAAUUGUUGCUAACCAGACUUUGUACAAACUAAUUGGGAGUUGCCUCGUGAAUCCAUAUUUAUUGUUCAUUCCUAUAGGGGUCUACCUUCUCUUUCAAACCGAUAUAUUUCAUAUAUGCUUUUAGUAACUUGCUUCAAGAUUAUAUUAUGCAUUCUCAUCCGUGUCACAUUCUAACAAAAAAAAUGCAUCCUGUUCCCCAUAAGGCUGCAAAUGGGUCGGGUUGACCCGAGACCCGACCCGGCCCGACCCGCGUAGACCCGACCUGACCCCGAAUUUUAGGACCCGCGGGUCCGGGUCGGGUCCUAAAAUUAGAUCCGAAUCAUUUUCUGGGUCGGGUCUGGGUUUACCGAACGGACCCGAUCCGACUCGAAUGGACCCGAAGAGAGAAAGAGAGGGGGAAAAAGCAAAAGAGAGUUUUUUUCUUCUUUUUUUUUUGUGGGUCGUGGCACUAUUGGUCCGUCAGGAUCCUCUCUCGGUCUAUUACACUGUUGAUACCUCUGGGUCGUGUCUCGAUAGCUGGCUUUUCUUUUUUUUUCCUUCGGUUUUUUGGUUUCUGUUUUUUUAACUUUUACUNNNNNNNNNNNNNNNNNNNNNNNNNNNNNNNNNNNNNNNNNNNNNNNNNNNNNNNNNNNNNNNNNNNNNNNNNNNNNNNNNNNNNNNNNNNNNNNNNNNNNNNNNNNNNNNNNNNNNNNNNNNNCCAAUCAGUCACAUGGACAAAAAAUAGUGUGAUAUGAAAUUUAGCUUGUAGACCGACUUAGUUAGUAAGUCGGGGUCAUCUAUUCUGACUGGAGAUCAAUUGCAAGUCUUUCAAGUCAUGGGUCACCCAGCACCUCAUAAUUAUGAUAUGACCAAAUUAGAUUUGCCCAAAUUCUUUCCCAAAAAUACAAAAAAAUUAGACCCGAUUCGGACCCGAACACGACCCGAUUCAGACCCGGACCCAACUCAGACCCGACCCGACCCGAUCUUCAACCGGGUCGGGUCUGGGUCCAAAAUUAGGAUCCGAACAAAAAAUUGGGUCGGAUCGGGGUCACCCAGGAUCCGACCCGACCCGACCCGACCCAUUUGCACCCCUAGUUCCCCAUGGACCAGCAGGGCUUCAUGAAUACUUGUAGUAUCAUAGUUCUUUACCCUUUUGACACUUAAAGUUCGUCAUUCAGUUCUAGUUCCUACUUUCUUGCAUACUGUGAUGCUUUUUGUAUAUGCUUGGUCAUCUUUAUUCAACUUUGGUUAUGGCAAGGCCAUCUUUGCUUUGAGUUCUUUCUUUCUCAAAAAAAUGUGCUGGUUUGACGUGGAGUAAAAUGAGACAAAGCAAACCCGUAGACAUUUAAAUGACCUAUUUUUGGUAUAAAAGCCGUUUGAUGUUCCCAUGCUUGCACAAGUAAUAGAAUCCUUCACAUGAAUGGUAAUAUUAUAGUAAAUACAAUUAAAGCACAUUGGUCAUUAUCUUCUUUUCACAUCCAUCCUUGUUUAUAAUGAUCUGGUUCAUUUGGAAUUUUGGAUCAUAAUAACCAUAAUUUAUUUUGGAGUGCAUGAUUAUCUGGUAUGGCAGUAUUUUGCAUGUUUGUUAACAAAUUUAGAUCAUAUCUAUCUUUUUUAUUCUCAAGGUGAUAAUUGUUAUUUUAUUGAAUCAGAGAACAUUUUUGAUGCUCAUGAAUUGCAAUGAACUAGAUUGAUGCAUAAGAUUUUUUGCAUAUUAAAGAAUGGUGUUUGAGAGGGUAUGAUGUGUGUAUAUAUAUGUCUUUGUAUACAUGUACAUGUAUGGAUUUUUGGAUCUAUAUAUUGGUAAAAUGAAUUAUAUGUAUGUAUUUAUGUUACUUGGGUGGAAUGCAUAGGUGGAAUUCCUUCAUGCAUCACAUAUGCUUGCCAUAAAUGUUUAUUUAGGUGUUGUUUGGUUGCAACAUAAGUGGGGAGAUAUCCCCCUAGGAAUGCAUAAUUGGUAUUCCUUAUGCAUGACACAUACUUGCCAUAAUUGUUUAUUUAGGUGUUGUUUGGUUGUAAAAUAAGUGGGGGGAUGGUAUACCCCAAAGUGGGGGGCAUCCUAUCACAAUCUUGUUAAACACGAAAGAAUUGGAGUUUAUACUGUGGAUGUGUUGUAAGUUUAUUCCACCAAAAUGCUGGCUUAUACUGCAGAAUAGGCUUGUCCCUGUUUCCUUUUAAUUACCAUUUUGCCCCUAUUUAUUUUAUAAACACUCAAAAAAGUGAGAGGAAAAUUUGGUCUUUGCUAUAAAAUCCAAAAGGUGGCAAAGUUCAAUGUGCGUAAAAUGUAACUUAUUCACUCCACCUAUUCCUUGCAUUUAUUCCUCGGCCAAAUACCAAAACAUACCUAUUCCACAGAAUAGGUCUAUUCUUUCAAUAGCGCAAGGGAUAUUCUUUCAGCCACUUAUUUUGCAGCCAAACACCACUUUAGUGCAUUGCUGCACGUGUUAUUUAAAUCAUGUGGAUAAUUGGAUAGAAAAAUGAAAGCAUGCUUCUGUUUUAUUGAGGAAAUAGAUGUCAUAUAUGUUGAUGCAUGCCUUUUAGGCAUGUGUGCAUUUAAGGUUCAGAUCCUAAGUAGUUCCUCCAAGAACUUAUUUCAGAUCAAGGUCUGCAAUCGAGGUGCUUGUACCUUAUUGGUACGUUACUUGUUUGGCAUGGUCAUGCUAUAAAAGUUUUGAAAAAUUAAUGAUUGAUAGGAAUAUAUGGAUAAGUAAACUAGUGCCUAGUUUGUGAUCAUUGACAAUAGUAAUGAUAUUUGGAUGAUCUUGGGUUACAUGAGCUAUUAUUGUUAAACAAUAUUAUAAACUUAUUAUUUCUUUGUUUACGUGCAUUUCAAUUGCUGAUAUAAUAUAUGUCUUUAAAAGUAUUUUAUAAUUCAAACUAUUUGACACUUUGUAAUAUUUAUGCAUGUUAAUGACUUAGCACACAGAAAACCUUGACCAGGGAAUUUCACUCGAUGGUCCUAUCUUAUUUCUUGCAACUAUCGAGCUUUUAGAUAAGAAAACAUGGCUGCAAAAGAAUUCCAUAACCAAAAAUUUGCAACCAAGAAAGGCUGUACAAAGGGUGUUUGCAGUGUAUUUAUGCGUACCAGUAAGUAUGCUUUGCUGUCGUGAUCUCUGAUAUGGUGCAUGCCUUAUCCACCCUCUGUUGAUACAAUAUCAAUCCUUGGUAUUUUGAACCUUGGCCAUAGGAUAACAAAUAACUGAUAUUGAUACAUAUAGUUAUAAGAUGAAAGUCCUUAUCUGAACUCUGCAUGCUGUCCAAAACACCUUUUGGAAUCAUGGGGUAAAGGAGUAAUCUUCUCUUUACAUGUUGAUGCUGACUGUUAAUGCAAAGUUGAGAUCUGCUAUGUGGAUUUCUAUAUUAGCAUGCCUUCUUGAUUUGUUGCAGUUUACUGAUUUUUGAUGUGCUUUUCAUACUUCCCGUUUUUUAUUAGUUUAUCUUCUAUCUUUAAGUCUAUAUCUGGUACAAAAUUCAUUCAUGACCUGUGUCCAAUCUUGUGCUCAGUGGCUUACAAAUUAGGAAGAAAGAAGCCUGCAGAUCUUAAAUUGCUUCAUCAGACUCUUUUUGGAAGGAAAGGAAAGGUAGUUAAAGAUGUUACAUUUAUUUGCUUCUUUAAUGUUACAUUUGGGUUCUAAGAUCCUUGUUGGUUAUCAUACAUUUGCUUUUAUUAUUUUAUGCUGCUGCUGCUGGUGGCGUGCAUAUGUAUUGGUGUUUAUGUAGUUGCUCUGGAGCUAAUAAUUGCUUACUUAAGUUGAUUAAGUGUGGAUUUAUGGUAAUCUUGAUAUUGAGGGAAGAACCUACUAUCCAUCUGAAGUAAUUUAUCUUCAGAUACUACUAUGGUUUGUUGACAUUGGUAUUUAAAUUGAUGUCUAUUUUACAUAGUACUAUCCUUUUAAUUUCUUUCAUGUACUUCUUGAAAGUUGAUCACAUUUGUAUGUGUUGUUGGACCAAUGGUGUCAUACAACCAGAAAAUGUUUCUUGUUUGCUAGUAUUUUAUCCAUGUUGUGUUAUUUUUUGCAUUUUUUUUAGCAGAAAUGCUAGAAAAUCCAAUAACUGGUCAAUUGAAAUUUAUUUUCCUGUUAGAAGUCUGAGGUUAUAUUUUUAAGUGCAGAUGUAAUUGUAAAGAAACAAUGUUACGCCCACUACCAAAUUCAAUGUUGGUGAUCAAAAGAUACAGUGAGCCAUUGAAUGUGAUCUAGGAGGCCUAAAAUAUUUAUAUACUAAACAUCCUAUGUUUUCUAGACUCCUAGAUUGUGAAUCAAGUCACCCCACAAUCAGUGCACUAUAACAUUCCAUUGUAAUUAUAUAUUCUGGGUGACUUGAUGUAUAGAUUCGAGGUCUCCAAAUCAUAUGAUUUUUCGUACAUAGAUAUUUUAAGCCUUCUAAAUCACAUCUGAUGGCUCACAUUUUCAUUUUUUGACCAUUGAUGUUGAAUUUGGUGGUUGGUGUAAAGGCCUCUCUUUACAGCCCAUGUGUGUUAUAUCCAUACCCAUUACUUCAUUUCUACAUGUGAUGAGAUUCUACGAGUGAUUAGUAUGUUUUUUCAGGGGGUUAAGUUACAUUUAGGAAAACACACAUUGUUUUGAGUGAUUGUUUUAGGUUUAUUUUGAUGCCUUGAAAAAUGGUCUGUUGUGGGCUGUGGAAACUAUAUUGAUUAUUUGCUGGUGAAAAUCAAGAUUCUCUUGUUUGGGUGACACAUUCCAUAUCUCUCUGUGUUCUGUUAAAUAUAAUUUUCCCCUAAUCUCUACAUUCAUCCAAUAUUCUUGGUAAUCCAGAAUAGUUGGAGUGUUUUGUCUUAGAUUAGAUAUUGCACCUGCUUGUACACUAGGACAUGGGCUGCCAAACUCACUUGGUUUGCUGGAUCUAGCUUGGCCGAUUGGCGGCCCUGGACAUGCAUUUCCAGCCCAUUGAGGUAGGCUGGGCCUCAGCUUACUUAAAGCAUCCAAGUUUGACCUGAAAUGUAUGCUAUAUUAUAUAUUAGGGGAUUUGCAGAAUAAAUGCACAAUGUUUCCAUAUUUAGAGAAAGGUCUUGUUUUUUCCCCGCAUAAACACUCCACAUUUUGGACUAUUAUAUCCCCAUUCUCAGAUGAAUAUGCACAUUUAUUUCAGUUGAUGCAUACAUAUUAGCUUACAUCUCCCUGAGAGCAAGCUAAAGCAGAUAUUGAUUAUAAUUAAUGGGUGCAGAUGUAAUAUUAUAGGGUAUUUGCAGAGAAAUUUCUUAGAUUAUCAAAUUUACAGAAAAAGUCACCUUUUUUAUUUUGGGAAGAGACUGCCCAUUUUGAAUUUUACUAGACCCUAAUUGAAGUUAAUCCAACACAUACACGCACAAACACAUGUACUCUCUUUUUGUUGUCAGCCUUGCUGUCUUGGUCUAUUUCUACUUUGUUAUUUGCAACCAUGGUUCGCCGUACUGGCUUGAACCGGGCGGUACAAUGCGUACCAUACUGUACCGGUUCGGUAUUAUACCGUACCGGAUCAGUACCGGUAUUUGGUACGGAAGACGUAUCGACACUAGGUAUAUUGAAAAGACUCUGUAUCGUGCCGAUGUAGUGCUAUUGUGGCACCGGUAGGGAGUCCGGUGCCAAGACGGCGAACUUUAUUUGUCACCCUUGCCACUAGUGUCCCCAUUUGUUCCCAUGAGUGUCUUCGACACCCUCACCACCAUCGAUGCCCCUCACCCUAUCCCUCCUUUUGGUGGAAUGGGAAUUGACCUACCUAGGAAAUUGAUGGGGUGGGCUGGGUGACUGGGCAGGAUGUAGAACUUAGUUAUGAGGUCCACUGUUUUAUGCUUAGCCUAGCAUGUUGGAAUUUGAUCUUGAGUUGUGGCUUAGCCUUAGCCCAACCUGUCUCAGUAUGUUCCUAGCCUACCUAUUGGAAUCUCAUUCUUGUUCUUACAGCUGCUUCAUCAGGCACCUGUUGUUGCCACCACUAUUUGGAACUAAUCUACUUUUUGUUAACUGUCCAUUAUUCUGCAUCAUAAUUAUCCACUGAAGGUUCUAACCAAAUAACUGCAUUUCUACAUUUUAUAAAAUUAUUAAAAUUUUUAUACAAAUGCUUCUUGGUUAAUUCAAUAUCCUAAAACCUUUUGUGAGCUCCACCUGCUUAUCCCUCAUUCUAGUACCAGAAUCUAAUCUCUCAUGGGAAUGCAAUGCACUCAACUUAGUUUUAAAUGUAACUUUUCUUUUGCUGCUAAACCUGCUUGUUUCUAUACAUUUGUAGAUAUUUUAUUUAUUAUCAUUUGCUAUUAAGCACACAGUCUUGAUAGAAAGCUCCAUUUUGCUUGAUCUUUCUGAUGCAAUAGAACUUUUGCUUAUGAUCAGCAUCUUAUUAGUGCCUUGACACUUUAUAAGAGGGUGACAACUAUAGAGAUAUGCAUCUUGGUUUGUUACAACCAUUUAUCAUAUACUUCGUCUUUCAGUGUGAAGGACAGUAUCAUUGUAAGAGAAGAUAGAUGAUCAUUUUCAUGCAUUUGUGAUGGUUCUCAACAACAUCUUUAUGCAUGUUUCGCCAUUACAUUCUUCAUCUUCAUAGUGAUGAUCCUGUCUUUCUUGCAUGAGCAAAAAUAUGAAUGUUAGAGCAGAAGGUUAGAUUCAUAAUGAGAGUCACUUCUUAUACCCAUUUAUUUUGUGUUAGUUCUGUGAGGGAAGGUUAGAUUUUUGAUGUUGAAGAUUUUACAAGUCUUCAGGUGCACAUUAUUCUUGCAAGUGGAAGAUUUGAGGAAGGUCAAAUUAUCGAAUUGUCAAAACAUCACUAGACCGAAGGUUUUGAGAUGAACAAUCUCACAUUGAUUGAUGCAUUUGAACUUUCUCAACUUAAGAGUGGAGAUAAGCUCUAUGAACUAAUUUGACCAUAUGAGUAUGAAAGUUUUAAGGUUUAGUAUUCGCCCCUAGCUAGGUUUUCCGGAACAUUUAUACUAGUUUGGGAUCAAGGCAUAGUUGUGUUGAGUUGUAAAUGAUAUUUGACUUUGUUAUCAUGAUAGCAGCUCUUUUUGGUUGAUGUGAUCAUUGCGCUUGUUAAGAUGCACCCCUAAUUUUUGUAUCGAGGUGAACUUGUGUUGUUUCAGUUGGUAAUGAAAUCAGGUUAUUUUUCUUUAAGUGAGAAAUUCCACUUAAUUUCUGCUAUUUGUUCUUUCCAUAUUUUCCUCUUUUUUGGUUUCCUUUAUUAAUUGAACUCGUUUUUCCUAGUAACUAGUAAGGUAAGGUCUCAUCACUAUGUGCAUACUGUAAAUAACUCCCAUUGAUGAGGUUACUUAUCUAUAUAAUUAUUAUUAAGGCAGAAGUUUUAUCUGAUCUUCUUUUGGUUUUAAUAAUUUAUUUUUUCUUUUCUGCCUUCUCUUUCGUGGAGGAUCAUUGUUGCAUUUCUGAUUGCAGGCUGUAAAUUUUAAAAAUCAUAUUCUCCAAUUUUCUGGAUUUGUCUGGCACGAGAGCGAUGUAAGCCUUCAUUUCAUACUUGAGAUAUACUCUGUUUGAUUCCUGUGCAAUCAUAUUUACUUGUUUUCUAAACCUUAUAUUGUUCUAAAAUUUUGAUUUCCUUUUUGAAUAACCUUUCUUAUAGGAAAAACAGAGAGCUAAAAUGAAGGAGAAACUUGACAAAUAUGUAAAGGAUACAUUAUUGGAUCUAUGUGAUUUGUUUGAUAUACCAGUUUCAAAAACAGCCAUGAGAAAGGUUGGUGGUCUGUUGUUCCAAAGUCUUCGUGUAUGAUUAUUCAAGUCAAAGCUGUGUUUUGCUUGUGACACUAAACGCUGAUCAGACUGAUUAACAUGUGUAUUUUCAAUGUUCCCACAGGAAGACCUUGUAGCAAAGUUAUUGGAUUUUAUGGUUGCACCUCAUGCUACUACUGAUGUGAUACUUGCUGACAAGCAGCAGGUUUGCCCUUGCUGCUAAAACAUGCUAUGUUCUUUGGUGGUGCGUGGUACUGAUAAUAAAUGUUCAUUUAGAUGGGAUAGGAUUUUCUGGCUGAAAUUUAUGCACGUGGGACCUAGCAAUAUUAGAUAAUGCGAAUAUUUCCUGCGGUAAAUUUUUCACGUACAAUGGGUAUUUUAUGCGUUGAAUCUAACUGUUUCUUUUGUUCCCUUUUUUUCAACAGUCGAUGAAAUCUCGAAAACGUAAGAGGGUGACUAAAGGAAGUGCUUCUAAAAGUGUGGCAGAAACACCCACUAAGCAGUCUAGGAAGGUUUGUUGAUGGAACAACACAAAUAUAAGUGAUUUUAUGUUACUAUUUCUUAAUAAUAUUUUGUUCUUGAAUCAUACUUGAUUUAUACAAUUUUAACUUUUAUUUGCAACAAAGCCACCUCUUUCAUUUUAUUUAUUCUAGUCAUCUCCCAUUAACUAUCUGUGCUAUGUGCAUUUGCAUUGUUCAAUUACAUUAAGAGUUGUUCUUGUCAAGAUAGUCCUGAUGUUUGUUUGAGACUACUGCAUUUUUGCGGAGACAGAAAAAAAGAGAAGACAGCUCAAAUAGCAAAGGGAAGAAUGUACAAGAAAAUGAAGAAGAAGAUGAAGAGGAUAAUGGGAAUGGUAUUUCUGAUGAGGAUGAAGCAUUUAAACAGUCUGAGUGUGGGGCGAAAGAAAGUGAAUCUGAAGAAGCUGCUGAUGAAGAUGGCGAUGAUAAUGAAGACUCAGGAAAAGGCAAAGAGGAUAAGAAGAGAUCUUCAAAACGGCGAGGUUCUGUUGGUAAAGAAAAGUCAAAGGUGGAGACCAGCUCUAGAAAGUCCUCUUUCCCAACAAGCACCAAGACCCCUACUAAAAUAUCAUCUUCCAAACGUCUCAAGGCUGAAGACGAUAAGGAUGUAGGUGCAAAGGUUUUCUCCAGAAAAAAGAGAAAUGUUGAUGUGGCUAGGGAAAAACCAACUCUAAAAUCAGAUAAGAAGGAGAGAGCUACUGGUAUGCCUUUGAUCUGUAAACUUUGCUAAUACAUAGAUAUAGGAGGGUAAAAAUCCACGGUAUCGCUUUGUGUUGAUCUUGUUAUGGCUACAUGCAUGCUUGCAUCCAUAUAUACAUGUAUAAGAAUGCCCAGAGAUAAAAAAUCAUGUGUUUUUAUGGUCUCUAACCUAUGUAUCAAGUGGAUAGGAAAAUGUACAGUUAAAAUGAUAUCAAACCAUGUUUUUCUAUGAUCUGAGCAUUAAAAUUUAUUGAUUUUCAAUCCUUGCAUGUUUUAACAUAUGUAGAUAAUGAUCGCUGCGGUGGAUUUUUACUUUGAACAUUUUAUCAUGUAUUUUGGCACACUAGCACAAUGGACACCAUCUUGUUUUGUGUCAAGUUGAUGCAUAGGUUAGAAACCACCAAUACAUGUGAUUUUUGGUUUCUAGGUAUUUUUAAAGAUAUAAAUCAUGAUCAGUGCUGUAGAUCUUCAAUUUCGGUGCUGGAUUAUUAAUUUUAGACUGACUAGAUGCCUCUCCUCUGGAGAGGAGUGUAACCCAUCCCGUCUGUAUGUGUAUGUGUGUGAAUGUGCAUGCAUGCACGUGUGUGCAAUGCAUGAAGUUCUCUUUGGAUUAGCUAGCAUGCAGAAAUUAGAGAGACGGGCCAAAUUGAUUAUUCUCGCAAUUAAAGCUGUUCACUGAACAUGUUCUGAGUGAUGUGGCUACCAUUGUUCUAGUUUAAUGUUAUCUCAUGGGUUUGUUGCAUCAAAAAUUAUUUGAAGAAUAUAUUUGCACCUGAAGUCAAGAACUCUUUUCGGUCACAGUAAUUAACAUUUAAACACAGAUAACUGAAUAGAAAGGCAAGGAGGGAAGCUCUUAAUACACAAUUACAUUGAUUUUGCUUGGCCUGAUGGUUUCUGACCUUAUAAAAAUAUUUAGCUAGUGGCCUUAAGGUUGUAGUAGCUAAGCUUGCUUGGUUUUUAAGAUGUCAUCAGCACUCAUCUAGAAUCCACGGAUUUGAUAGAAAGAGGAAAUCUGUUGUAGAACAAUUGAUUUUAGACUGUUACUGCUUUGUCAUCGGCUUUAUAAGCGAUAUUAUUGUAUGAAACUUUAUAUUCUUGCAAAGCAUGUUGUAUCGUUUAAUGCCAACUUUUCUGACCUGCUCAUGUCAUGUUUGAUGGCUGCUAUAUUAUCUAUGCAGCAGUCUCCUGAUUGUGACUGUAGUCUGUUGCAUGUCUCCGUUCCAUCUAUUUCUAAGUUUUCUGUCAUAAAGAUAAAGGAUGUUCAUGUGUUGAAGCUUCUUUGCCUCCCAGCACAGUGCUGUCUGUUUAAGAUUUUGUGAGAAUGAGAACUGACUCUUGUGGCUCUUGUUGAACUCUAUGCUUGUCUGUGGUGUCUCCUCCACAUUUUUUGUGAAUGACUGAUCACUACUUGACUCAUCUGUUAUUUGAUCAAGGUAAAAGGGCGGCUAGAGGCAAGGGAAAAUCAAUGGAGGGGGAGCAUCCAAGCGAGGAGGAACUGAGGAAGACUAUAUGUGAAAUUCUGAAGGAAGUUGAUUUUAACACUGUGAGUUAUUCUGAUAUUACCCUGUAUUAUUUGGAAAAUUAAAUAUUAAGAAGCUGCAUAUGAGUAUGUAUAUGUGUGAAAAAAUUAAUGUUUGUAGUACAUUUUAGUUGUACAUAAUUGUUAAUCCAAAGAAAGUUGCAUCAGAUAUUAGGCGGCCUAUCUUCAUCCUUGUCGGGUUAUGCUCAGGAUCUGUCAGUCUUCCUAGUAGUAACCUAGAUAUCAUCAAGUUGCUAUUGCUUCUUCCUGUCAUUUAUGCCUUUAUUUGUCCAUUUUAGUACGACUCUUAGACCCUAUUAUGCCCAUAUACAGUAUGGCAUAUGAUUUCUUCAGCUUUGUUAACUACAUUCUGCUGUUCUGUUUCAGGCCACUUUCACUGACAUUCUUAAACAGCUUGGUAUGUCCUUCUGACUUAUCCUUGUUUCUUUAAUCUGGACCUUUCUGAAAUACUUACAAAAGUGUGCUUUUCCCAGCAACCCAUUACAAAAAGGACCUAACUCCUAGAAAACCAGCUAUAAAGGAAUUGAUCCAAGAGGAGUUAACCAAGCUAGCGGAUGAAGCAGAAGAAGAUGAGGAUGAUGAAGAUGAAGAUGCCGAGAAGGAAGAAAAUCCAGAACCUAGUGGCAAAGAGGUGAAAACUUGAUUGCAGCUUAAGUAGGGGCAUGGCACUGAUAUUGACUCAAUAAUGUUCUCCUGUCGAAGUUAGCCUGCC
rnacentral:lncRNA from 1 species